UUAGCAGCUCCAGCGGGAUAAUCAUUACCAUCCAGCCAGCUCCCAUAAACAGCUCACAUUUUUCUUACGACUCAUGCCGCCUGGCCAAUCUGGUUGCCAUGGUGACGGGGUGGACCCCUUGGAUGUGCUAUAUUAUUCACUCCUCAAGCAGCUCCUCUUCCUGACCCCAAAAGUCUCAUUCUUUAUGGGCUUUUGCCUCAAAUAUCAGGUUUGACCCUCACAUCGAUGCGCCGGAUCUUCACUUAUCCACCUCUCUGAAAAUGCCUGCUUGAUUUCUCCAGCUGGACUGAAGGGAGUUGUGGGAAGGUUUUUGUGAAAUCAUCCCGACCAAGCAAAUAGACCCUCACAAAAAUAAAGAAAAAAAAGUAAAAUGACAAAAAACAAAAA